ACCUACGGGGCGCAGCAGUAGGGAAUCUUCCACAAUGGACGAAAGUCUGAUGGAGCAACGCCGCGUGAGUGAAGAAGGGUUUCGGCUCGUAAAGCUCUGUUGGUAGUGAAGAAAGAUAGAGGUAGUAACUGGCCUUUAUUUUACGGUAGUUACUUAGAAAGUCACGGCUAACUACGUGCCAGCAGCCGCGGUAAUACGUAGGUGGCAAGCGUUGUCCGGAUUUAUUUGGCGUAAAGCGAGUGCAGGCGGUUUAAUUAAGUUUGUU
rnacentral:rRNA from 1 species